rnacentral:rRNA from 1 species
GGAAGGGGUGUAUUUAUUAGAUAAAAAUCAAUGCUCUUCUGAGCUCUUUGAUGAUUCAUAAUAACUUUUCGAAUCGCAUGACUUCGUGUCGGCGAUGGUUCAUUCAAAUUUCUGCCCUAUCAACUUUCGAUGGUAGGAUAGUGGCCUACCAUGGUUUCAACGGGUAACGGGGAAUAAGGGUUCGAUUCCGGAGAGGGAGCCUGAGAAACGGCUACCACAUCCAAGGAAGGCAGCAGGCGCGCAAAUUACCCAAUCCUAAUUCAGGGAGGUAGUGACAAUAAAUAACGAUACAGGGCCCAUUUGGGUCUUGUAAUUGGAAUGAGUACAAUGUAAAUACCUUAACGAGGAACAAUUGGAGGGCAAGUCUGGUGCCAGCAGCC